CAGGGGCAGUGGCACAGCCCGUGGCCAUAUUCAGAGAGAGGGGCCAGAGUUGGAGAGGGAGCGGGUACCGUGCACCAUCGAAAAAUCUGAGAAUAUUGAGCUGCACGCUGUAAUAAGGCUGAAACAAUUUGACUGGCGGUGUGUGUCCUGCAGGACAGAGGGGAGCGGGGCCCAUCCACCAUGUCUGAGCACCAGCCGGCCCCCAACAGCCCACUGACGGAGGGACACGCCGGCCUCUUGUCUCAGCUCCAGGAGGCCCACCGGAGACUUGAGGAGCUCAGGUCGAGCAGCACCGAGGAGCACGAAGGAGCGCUGGGCUGUUGCGAGCAGGCCGGCGGCUGAUCCUGCAGCAGCGGGAG